AUACGUAGGGUGCAAGCGUUAAUCGGAAUUACUGGGCGUAAAGCGUGCGCAGGCGGUUUUUUAAGACAGAGGUGAAAGCCCCGGGCUCAACCUGGGAACUGCCUUUGUGACUGGAAGGCUAGAGUACGGCAGAGGGGGAUGGAAUUCCCCGUGUAGCAGUGAAAUGCGUAGAUAUGCGGAGGAACACCGAUGGCGAAGGCAAUCCCCUGGGCCUGUACUGACGCUCAGGCACAAAAGCUGGGGGAGCAAACAGGAUUAGAUACCCUGGUAGCCCACGCCCUAAACGAUGUCAACUGGUUGUGGGGUCUUCAUUGACUCAGUAACGAAGCUAACGCGUGAAGUUGACCGCCUGGGGAGUACGGCCGCAAGGUUGAAACUCAAAGGAAUUGACGGGG
rnacentral:rRNA from 1 species